rnacentral:misc_RNA from 1 species
GAUGAAGAACGUAGCGAAAUGCGAUACUUGGUGUGAAUUGCAGAAUCCCGUGAACCAUCGAGUCUUUGAACGCAAGUUGCGCCCGAAGCCAUUAGGCCGAGGGCACGCCUGCCUGGGCGUCACACGUCGUUGCCCCCCCAUCUACUCCUUCGGGAUUGCGGGGGGCGGAUGAUGGCCUCUCGUGCGCCUCGUCGCGCGGUUGGCCUAAAUGCCAAGUCCUCGGCGACGCACGCCACGACAAUCGGUGGUUGCGAAACCUCGGUUGCCUGUCGUGUGCGGUCGUCGCGCAUCGAGGGCUCGAAAAAAUUGCCGGGCUCCGGCUCGACUUUCAACGCGACCCCAGGUCAGGCGGGGUUACCCGCUGAAUUUAAGCAUAUCAAUAAGCGGAGGA